CCUGCCCUUAGAGGCCUUGUGGGUGUGGCUACUGUGUCACACGUGUGUCAGCAGGCAUCAGAGAGAAGAAAGGCUGUCUGAGAUUAGUGUUUUGACCUGUGAACAUGUGAAUGAUUACUAGCCUAGCAUA